UCGUGGCUUGGGCACAGCCGCCUGAGAGCUGCGGCUGGGCGAGGGGCGAGCAGGAGAGGCCGGGCUCGGUCGGAGGAAGGUGUGAGCUAGGCUAGAGCAGAGGGAGAAAAAAACCAAGCCCAAAAACAAAACCAAAAAAUAUUAAUAAUAAGGCUGCCCCUUGAGCUGAUAUGUUGAGAGGAGGCUGGAGCUGGAAGAGCAACUGAAACAAACUUCGAUUCACAAAGGUUUCUACUGGCACAGCUCCCAUCUUAGCCAGGGGAAGGUGAAGGCUGGAAUGGAAAGAAAAGAAAUAAAGCAAAAAACCAACCAAACAAAAAGCCAACAACCCCCCAAAAAAACCAAAACCACAAGAGAACCAAACACAAUACCUCAAUGAAACACACAAACCUCCUGUUACUAUUUUGUGUGUCAAGGCAGAAUAUUUCCAAAUAUGAUCAAGGUUGUUGGUGUUUUUUUUUUUUUUUAAAGGUUAUUAAAAAAAUCCUUUAAAUGCUGCAAUUCUGGAAUUAUUUCUCUUGCACUAAAAGUUCCCAGGGUGGCUUUUCCUUAUGGCAUUCGAGAAUCAUCCCACUUCAUCUCUCACCUGAAUCUUGUCAUCUGUGCCAUCUUGAAGUGAUCUGUGAACAAUGCUGGUCCCUUGGACAGCCCAAGCUGGUCAAUCAGGCAGAACAGACUAUGCAAAUGGAAUGGAAAGGCGAAGCGAUGAAGAACAGUGGCCCCCAUUGUCUUGGGCAUUUCAAAGCGAAGCCCAGCUGCAGCAGGCGUUGCUGUCUCCGGACCCUUGGUUGCUACUCUAAUGUCAUCAUUGCAAAACAUCACAUUUUGAAAACUCUACAGUCUGAAUGCAUGAGCAGCCCUCCACAAAGAUUUCACUUUGCCGUGACAUCUCUCGAAGUCACCCAAAAAAAGGAAAAAAAGGAAAAAAAACCGCCAGCCAACAACCAGUGGGGACUGUGAUCCCAGCCACAUUGCCAGCUCACAUCCCUCGGUCCCUUUCCCUGCGCUCCCAAUAACUGUGGUGCAGCUGAUGCUAAAUGCCUUUUGCAACCUUUUGGUAAAUGCCUCUCCUUUCUUGUUGUUUUUAGAGUCAAAUUGGAAGAUGAUCUAAGUUGCAUUUAACUUAUUUUCUGUCAUGUCUCUUCCAGACGCUCUAAUGAGCUAAUGCCGAGGAGCAGGCAGUGAAGUAUUUAUUCACAGUUGCUUCCAAAACUUCAGAUAUGUGGGGCUUUCAAAGAGUCAGACAGUGCCUUUGCAAGUGGUUAAACCAGCAGCUAAGCUGGGUAUUUACAGCCCGUUAGGAGUUUUUUUGAAUACUUGGUUUCUUAAUACACUCAUGCUGUUGCUGCUUCCGAAUAUUGUUGCCAGCCCUGCGCCAGCUCUGCUUCCCAGUACUGGUCCCAAAGUUAGCCCCACCAUGAGAAACCAGCUUUCACUGCAGCAAAGCUGGGGGCUGUUGGAUAAUUAAUAUGUGUUUUCAAGGUACUAAAUCAUUGUCCACGUUUCACUUAUCGUUCCUUUUAAUUUUCUUUUGUUCAUAGGUGAUAUUUGUGAUCACCAUGUGCUGAGCAGAGGAAACUCCCCUGUCUUCCACCCUCAUGCCCAGAGCCUGUGCUCAAGGAGCUAAGGUCUCUGCCAUCCGUAUCUUAAAAUGCUGGGGAUUACCUUUCCCUCUUCCCCAUCUCUUAUCUCACAGGAAUUAGUGAAUCCAAAGCUUCUUCUCCAACUUAUUGUAGUUAGCCUACAAAGAUGGAUAAUGUCAUAGCCAGCCUCAGAUGCUGCCUAGUUCAUAGACGGAGCAGUCACACAUUUUAGUGGUCACUCUUGAGUGCUGACUAUGCUCAGUGUUCAUGCAGGAACAGAGAAGAAAGUUUCAUUGGACUAAGAGAGCUGAGUUAAGAAACUCUUAAUUACAUUCUUUACAGGACCAAGAAUAAUUCCGUGCUUCUUUCCUGCUCCUUUUGCUUGGGUAAUGCAUUCUGUAACAAUGUCACAUAGAUUACAAAGGAAGCAAAGAAUAGAAUUAUUUAAAACUAAAUAAUUAUCCACUGCAUUUUGAUUAGCUUCCUAAAUUUAAGUUUGUCCCUUUCAAAAUGCAAUGUGUCAGUAAGAAGGAAAAAAUCAGAGUAACAAACAAAAGCAAAGAGAGGUUGAAGUGAAUGGGGCAAAUAAAUUACUGCAUAGGUGCCAUUUCAUCUUCUGGUUGGAAGUUUCUUUUCCCUUGCCAGAGAGAAUUUUCCUAGGACAGGUACUGGGUUGAAAGAAAACCAGUUUCCAACUACAUCAGCCUCUUGGUCAUAUGAGUAACAGCAGGAAUGCAGACUGCUUCAUACAAAGGUUUCAAUAUAGCUGAUACCUACUGUAAGCACCCUUCCCUGCCAGGUAUUUGUUAGCAGAUGCCCCCAAGACUCUUUCUUUUAUCAGUUCAUCUGAUAGGAGAAAAACUUCACCUACUAGACAAAUGGAUCCCUCAAAAUCUAUGCUCUAGGAGGUCUUGCACAUGCUUUAGGUCCCCUCCAGGCGCCUCACUUGCUAACCUGAAUGCAGAAAUCCAGAGGAAAAACAAUGUUGUGAAGCCAGUGCCUGCACAGAGGACAACAGCAAUGCACAUGGCCAGGGGCCAAAUGCCCUGUUGCUGUACAUGGGUGUAUUUCAUCUGGAGAUACCUCUUACUUCCAGAAAGAGGUUAUGAAGGAGGAAGAUGCAGUGGCUUUCCAAGAGGAGCAGCUGCUCCUCGUGCUUCCCGUGGAGGUGUUGCCAAGGGGCUAAGCAGAGGUGAGGGUCCUCUCUGCGGACACAGCAGCUCCCACACAAUGGUGGGAUGGAUGAUAUCCUCAGGGCCCAGGCCAUGGGAAGGGGACAGGGGCCCACAAGGUCAGUCCACCACCCUUGGCCCAGACAUGUCCCUCUCCUAGAGCAGCCUGUGUUGCCAGCUGAACCUCAUCCCUUCACAGCAGCCUUCCAGCCUCACGCCCAGGGGUUGAGAGACCAGAGGUGCGUUAGCCACCCCUCACUCAGGCCUGCUGCCCCUCCAUAGCACCAAACAAUUUCCUGUCACUCUAGGUUUACAGACUUGGCUCUGCCAGGAGGGAAAUGGCCCCAAAUGUUCCCCUUGGGUAGGGUGCUGGGAUAACCAGGGACAACCUCCUUUCCCAGCGGUCCCAAGUCCCCCUGCCAACGGAAGCUGAUUGGAAACAAGAGCAGCUUCUCCCUUGAGGACAUGAACUUUGCUUUUCACUCACCGCUGGAACUUCUGCCCCUUUCCCCCACCAGCCCAAAUCCUUGUACAUUCAGCCACAGUUAUCUCUGCUCGUGCACUGACUGUAUUUUUCAUGUUUAUUAUCAUCCAACCCAGUGUAAUGCCAUCUGGCACAUGCACACGUGGGGAGAAGAAAACCAUAUAUUCAGCAAAUGGAGCAUACAGGGUUUAGGUUUUGUUUUGCUUCUCUUAUUCUUCCAGUUUCCAUUUAAAAUUAUGUGGAAGGGAUAUCUGAGCAAUUCUCCCUCAUGAAAAAUGAUCAAAACUCCCAGUUAUGAGAUUAAAAAAUACAGGAGAGUGCUGAUGCCAGGAAGGGUCAGGAACAUCCCUGCUGUUGAAAUACAGUUUCUUCUUUUCCUUCUCCUGUGUUUCAUUUCACCUUGUGCUCAGAUAAGGAACACUUAAUACUUUCAUACUUUAUAUGUAUAUAUUUAAUACUUUAAAUGUUUGUGUUCACUCUUUUUACCCAGGAUUUGUUCUGGUCUUUUAAAUCAUUAUUUUACUGUGAGACACGUAUUUUAAGCAUUAUGUGAAAAACCACACUCCUCCGAAGCACUAGAGCAUUGCGAGCCACCCUGCAGUCCUCGAAACCUUUGCUAUUUUCACUGAUACAUUAAAAACUGAUAUAAAAAUAAAUCUGCAGUGUAGAUGUAAAAAAAGCAGGCAGCGUUUUCAGUGAAAGCUAGCACCUAUCGCAUUGCCACCUUAAUUCAAAGAUAGUUUUGUAACAAAGUUGUGUAAUCAAACCAUUUUUCCUCCCUGAUAAUUCAUACUGUAAGAUUAUUAGUGGAGUUGUCCAUGGAAAAGGUACUACAAAAUUUAUUAUAUUACUUGAUUAAUUUUCUUUCAAUUUUUACUUUAAUUUUGUCUAAUUACUGUAUUGUGAUCUAAGUCAGCAUUCUUAAAUUAACUAUCAACUUAAAUUUUGAAGAAACUCUACAAGUGCAUGAUAAUGAUGAAAUUUAAAUUACUGUCGAUUUAUGUGUAAUGUCUACAUCAUGGAAAAGCAAUCCUUCAGGUAUUUUAAUUUCAUUUGCAUAUGUAGCAUUGUGUCUUUCCUGUUUCAUUUGUAAGAGUAGAAUACUUUGUCAUUUCCAAACUAUAAAAAUACUACUAAAAUAACCUGUUUGGGAUAUACAGAUAUAUAUUCCCUAAAUUGAACUAUGGUUUUGAUGAAAAUAUGAAAGAAAAUAGUUCUUGAGACUAGAUUGUUGGUCACCCAGAUUUGUUCAUAUUUGUUCAGAAAAGUAUCUUGUUUUACAGGUAGAUGCAGAAAGGUAAAACUGUUCUCAGAUCCUGCUAAAAUAAAGACAGACAUUUCAAUGCAAUUCAUACAGUGUCUGUAUGUUGAGUUAGAUUCUGGUCUCACAUCUGUUUAAAAAUCAAUAUAUUCUUUGCUCAAGCCCUGAUCCAAGGCUGAAUGAUGUCACUGUAAUGACUUCAAGUGGGCUGUGGAUCAAGGCCUUUUACACCACCGUUCCUUAUGCCACUAGUCUGAGAAAGGCUAUUUUUACCACGUCUUUCUUUUCCUGUGAAAUCAGAUCAUUUGGAAUGAAUUAAAAAUGCCUGAUCAGAGAUGCUCUGGCUUACUUUUUAUGACAAUACUGUUCAUUUUAAAUAUUUCCUACAAAUGCAAUUUGAUAGCAAAAUAAAAGUUU
ensembl:lncRNA uncharacterized LOC115603996